rnacentral:sRNA from 1 species
CCAGUUCCCAUCUGCACUAUUCCAUCUCCUCCGAUCCUGGAGCUCCUCGGUGACUCUAUCAAAGCCCCUGUUUUCCCGUGACCUGCAGGUACUGGGAGAUCCAUAGGGAGGACGGCGGAACAUCCGGAGGCUGGGAAAUGGGAGUGUUGACAUUCAGGGAUGUGGCUGUAGAAUUCUCCCCAGAAGAGUGGGAAUGCCUGGACUCUGCUCAGCAGGAUUUGUAUAGGGAUGUGAUGUUAGAGAACUACGGAAAUCUGGUCUCCUUGGGUCUUGCUAUCUUUAUGCCAGACUUGAUGACCUGUCUGGAGCAAAGAAAAGAGCCCUGGAAAGUGAAGAGACAGAAGACAGUAGCCAAACACCCAGGUAGGUGGGAGUGAAUGAAGCAAAUGACACCAAUGACGGAUCCCAAUGUCAAGGAGGAAGCCAGACCUUUAAACAUGCUUCCAGAAGCUCUGCUCCAGUGGAAAUCAUUUCUGAGAAGCCUUCAUUUCUUUCUCUUGCUUUAAUAUAGGGAUAUUUUUUGUCCCAUUCUUGUGAAUUUUCCAAGCACUGUACUUCCCCUUCAGUAAUGUAUUUUGUUGUUGUUCUUGCUGUUUUUUUUUUUUCUUUAAGUUUACAGUGAUAAUGAAAGUUGUUUUCAUGGCUUAAAAGAAAAUGUGUGAUUUAACUGCUUUUCCAUUGCUUGGGAGAAACAGCAAUAUUUGUAUUUUUGAGAAACUAUAUUAAACCAUUUUUUAA